UCCAGACUCCUACGGGAGGCAGCAGUGGGGAAUAUUGGGCAAUGGGCGCAAGCCUGACCCAGCAACGCCGCGUGAAGGAAGAAGGCUUUCGGGUUGUAAACUUCUUUUAAGAGGGAAGAGUAGAAGACGGUACCUCUUGAAUAAGCCACGGCUAACCACGUGCCAGCAGCCGCGGUAAUACGUAGGUGGCAAGCGUUGUCCGGAUUUACUGGGUGUAAAGGGCGUGUAGCCGGGUUGACAAGUCAGAUGUGAAAUUCUGCGGCUUAACCGCAGAACUGCAUUUGAAACUGUUGAUCUUGAGUACUGGAGAGGCAGACGGAAUUCCUAGUGUAGCGGUGAAAUGCGUAGAUAUUAGGAGGAACACCAGUGGCGAAGGCGGUCUGCUGGACAGCAACUGACGGUGAGGCGCGAAAGCGUGGGGAGCAAACAGGAUUAGAUACCCCUGUA
rnacentral:rRNA from 1 species